rnacentral:rRNA from 1 species
CCUACGGGUGGCUGCAGUGAGGAAUAUUGGUCAAUGGGCUUACGCCUGAACCAGCCAAGUCGCGUGAGGGAAGACUGCCCUAUGGGUUGUAAACCUCUUUUGUCAGGGAGCAAUUGGCGCUACGUGUAGCGUUAUCGAGAGUACCUGAAGAAAAAGCAUCGGCUAACUCCGUGCCAGCAGCCGCGGUAAUACGGAGGAUGCGAGCGUUAUCCGGAUUUAUUGGGUUUAAAGGGUGCGUAGGCGGAAUGCCAAGUCAGCGGUACAAUCGCGGGGGUAAACCUUGGUCCGUCGUUGAAACUGGGGUUGUUGAGAGGGCGAGAAGUAUGGGGAAUGGGUGGUGUAGCGGUGAAAUGCAUAGA